AGCGAACGCUGGCGGCAGGCUUAACACAUGCAAGUCGAGCGGGCACUUUCGGGUGUCAGCGGCGGACGGGUGAGUAACGCGUGGGAACGUGCCCUCUGGUUCGGAAUAACUCAGGGAAACUUGAGCUAAUACCGGAUACUCCCUUUUGGGGAAAGGCUUGCUGCCGGAGGAUCGGCCCGCGUCUGAUUAGCUAGUGGGUGAGGUAACGGCUCACCAAGGCGACGAUCAGUAGCUGGUCUGAGAGGAUGAUCAGCCACACUGGGACUGAGACACGGCCCAGACUACUACGGGAGGCAGGAGUGGGGAAUAUUGGACAAUGGGCGCAAGCCUGAACCAGCCAUGCCGCGUGAGUGAUGAAGGCCUUAGGGUUGUAAAGCUGUUUUAUCCGGGACGAUAAUGACGGUACCGGAGGAAUAAGCCCCGGCUAACUUCGUG
rnacentral:rRNA from 1 species